rnacentral:rRNA from 1 species
UACGAAGGGGGCUAGCGUUGCUCGGAAUCACUGGGCGUAAAGCGCACGUAGGCGGCUUCUUAAGUCAGGGGUGAAAUCCUGGAGCUCAACUCCAGAACUGCCUUUGAUACUGAGGAGCUUGAGUCCGGGAGAGGUGAGUGGAACUGCGAGUGUAGAGGUGAAAUUCGUAGAUAUUCGCAAGAACACCAGUGGCGAAGGCGGCUCACUGGCCCGGUACUGACGCUGAGGCGCGAAAGCCAGGGGAGCAAACGGG